AUUUAUGUAGUUUACUUAAAACAUUACAUUUUCACUGUAAAGACGAGCCUCAGCUCCUUAAAUG
rnacentral:tRNA from 1 species